ensembl:lncRNA
CUCGUCCUCGUUUUGAACGUCUCACUCAUGGCUGAUCAGUGUGUUCUUUCUGAUUAGCUCUUAAUUGAGAUCACCUGUCACGCACCCCUAUAUUAAAGGUGAACACCAUGGGUUUGGUUUACUUUUCGCAUCGGCCUGUGUCAAUCGAGGUUGAGUUAGUGAGGGUUGAACGUUUUCGAUCUAGAUUGCAGAUCACUAUUGUCACUUUAUACAAACUGAAAGUAUGCGUUGUUGCGUGUCUGUUUUUGUGGGCAUUUGACUGAACAGCCCAGACAAAUAUCGCAGUGUUAGAUGACUGACGAGAUCUAUGGGGGGGCCCCCUUUGGGCCCCCCCAUACCAACUUAGUCUUCAAAGGAAUCUAGUGCCAUGGGACUCCAGUGUCUUCAAAACAUCCUUGGAAUACAUGUGUAUGAAUGGUCCACCGAAGGGUUGAUCUGGAAGCCACCACGGUCCACGCAGUAAUCUGCUGCGUGGGCCGUAGUGGCUUCCAGAGCCAUCUUUCGGUCUUGGUCAGGAUUUGUUACAGUUGCCCUUCAAUGUAACAGGCUACGGGUUUCUGAAGAAGCCUGCUUUACGUAGCAUUAGAGUACAAAUAUUGUGCAAAAUGCUCAUGUAAUUGCACUAGUAACCUGUAGAUUAGCUUAGUUUAACGUCAUUCCGUGCUGUCUGUCAAAUGUGUGGCUUACUUUAAGUCCACAAGGCCCUCUGGUAAACCACGUUGGAACACCCCUGGACAAGGUGAUUAGUCACUGGGUGUGUGCUAGUUUUGUUCCAUUUUUCACUAGUUGGUUAAGGUUUGGUAGAAUUGUUUGGAUGCUAGCGACGUGAUGGCGUAUGUACAAGAGCCUACCGUGGCGAGGCCACAGUUGCGACGGCCACGGCCAGAUGGCCUAGUGUGAGUGCAACCUUGAUUGCAUUUGUAUACUGUUUACCAUUGGAUGUUUAUGCAAUUUGGCUUAUUUCAUCCGCAGUAAAGCUGCAUUUGACUAUUCCAGGGUCGUUUUGUGCAGGCUUUCAAUUGACCAUGUUGACUAGUUUGUGGGAAGUUUUUUUUUUUUUUUUUACCCUUGCUUACAAUCCAACGGUUGUGACCACUUAUGCAACUGGGCUGUGAACCUUGCAAUUCUAGUUGCAUAUUUGUACACGGAAGCUUGUCCAUUUCUAUCGCCAUCACUAAAACUAGCUUCAGCAUUUCCUUGUAGGCCAUUAGCUGACUUGUGUAUUGGAGCGAUGAUUUGGGUAUUUUAAGAUGCUUGAAAACCUAAAAUAAAGCAAAAUGCAUGUCUGGUGUGCAAGAGCCAAUUUGUUGGCUUGCGGUAGUCGAGGAGUUGCCGUAGGUCGUAAGCCAUCUGGAGGUUGUGGCAAUGGAGGCUUGUGGUAGAUCUGCCAUCCAAGAAAGGUUAAUUCUUCUGAAGCAUGAUUAAUAAGUUUAGUAAAUUGAAUCUAUUCAUAUAGAACUAUAAAAUCCAAGACUGCAGCCAGUAACUUGGAUCGCAAUAUGUGGAAAGUAUUAGUCUUCAUUUGUAACAACAGAAUAAUUAACAUGACUAACUGGGUUUCUUCCAUUUUUCUAACUAGGGGACUUGACUGGUGAGUCUACUGGAUUAAUCAGUAGCAGUACUUUGCCCAACAGAUUUGAUGGCAUGACUACAGGUUGGUGGUUCAACACUGAUGUCUCUCUAGGCUUGAGGGAGAGCUCACAAGUAAAUUACACGAAUGUCCUGGAGCAAUUGGGAAUACACUUUUAUUUAGUCUACCUGACCAGGGACAUCUUUGAACUAUAGGUCACCUAACCCAAACUUUUCACUCUUGUUAGGUUGUCCUUUUCUCUUGUUUUAACCCGAAAGGGCUGAAAUAUCAGGUAUUCUGUUUGGAUAAUGUGCAAAACUUGUGGCUUCACUAAUAAAAAAAAUUAACAAAUGUAUUUUUCUUAAUGUGGUUAAACCAUUUAAAGAUUUGUAUGCAAAAUAUUUCUGCUCAAUUUGUGGUCAAUGAAACUCUGACAUUUUUUAAUUUGAUAAAACACAACUAUGGGUUAAAGGUAUUUGCUUUGGGCAGCUUUUGAUAUUUUUAGAAUCUAGCUCCAUUGCCGUUAGAAAUGGUGUCUCCCAGUACUGCAAAGUGCUUCCACAAGUUUAAGAGGCAGAAAAGGAACUGCCAACUAAAUCUAUUUAACAUGGGUAGAAAGUUUCCAUGGAAGCUCUUGGCUGCUGGUUCCCAACACAGCUCCACUGUUAGCCUGUGACCUUGCGUUUAACUUUUUUUGACUUUUGGUGACUUUCACAAAAGAGAAAUGAACUGGUUAAUACAAUAAACAAGACAUUUCAUGGUACUAUUUUGAACUGUUUGGAUAUUGCAUUAAAUCCAUAUGGUUGAAACUUUUCAAUAAUGCAUAUCAACAAAACAAUGGAAUGAAAUAAAUAGUUCAAGC